ensembl:lncRNA
GUGGCUUUGGAUAAAAGCGUCUGCUAAAUGACUAAAUGUAAAUUAAGUCAUAAGUUCUUAAGUUCUCAGCUUGUGAACUACGUAUCCCAUGAACCACUCCGAAUGACGUAGAGUAGGCGGAUGCUGACGCUGUUGUUAUGUGUCACGUUGCACACGAUGUCAGUAAAAAGUUAUCAUUGCUGUUCAGUCCUCACGACUUAUUUAGAAGGAGGCUUCAAAAUGCUGUUCCACAAGGUCCUCAACGUCUCCUGAAUACAUUGUGUCUGGGACAAUGUACUCCUCAUAAUCGACCCCCAGAAGCACGAUCACGCCCAUUCCGGAAGACACUCCGAUCACCUCCACCGUCUCCUCAAUGAGCCGCCUUUCUGAAACCUGUGUUUUUACAGUGUUUGGGCGGAGGUGGGUCAGCUCCACAGUGUCUCCAUUUAACACCUCGAUAAGAGCCUCAUCUCUCCACAGAGAAACCUCAACUGCUCUUGAGUUGCAGUUUAGCUUAAAGUCCAGGACGGGCACUUUACCAAAUUGCACCUGUGCCAUCCUCACCUCCUGCAACUACAAAUCACAUACCAGAGGAGACUGACGUACCCAUCUUCUGAAGGGUCCACUUUGUCCACGGAGACCAGAGGGGAAUGUGGAACAAGGAUCUCUCUGGCCCUUCUCUCCUGAUCUUCAUUGUUUAAUCAGUGGGUCACAGUUGUUCCUGCUAUACUCACCAUUCUUCGAUGAAAUGCUACUGCCUUUCUUGUGACACGUGUGGCAACGCAUUUACAUUUCAGUGGCUCCGGACGGCUGUAUGGACUGCAUGUUGCCAUUGUGAUGCUAAGAACAAAUACACAGAAAGGAGUAGUCAGUGAGUCGAGUGAGAGGGGGGUCAGUGGGCCAGUGGUCUUAAACUUGGCAGUGGUCCAAUCAGAUGACGUCACCGAGGCGCAUAGUAACAAGAGGGUGCACAUUUGGCGGGUGAGCACAUCUUUUGGACAUGUGACUAAUGAGCUGUCAAUCAUUCUGGAUUCAUCCGGUCCGGCGGUCCUUCCUUCAGAUCAUUGCAUCCUCUGCUGUUGUGUUGUCCUCCUUCCUCCUCCCUACUGCCAAGUGGUCAUCAGAACUUUCUUUUAAAGGGUUGAGGCUGCGUUGGCUGUCUAUGCAAGUAACAUAUGCACAACAUGUUAAUCAGACAUAUCUUUAUUUUGAAAUGUACAGUUCUGUAGCUUUACAUGGACAUAGCUGUCUUAGCCUUUAAUGUAAAAACCUGAUUCUAAAGAAGUUGGGACACUGUACAAAUUAUGACUGUACAAAUUAUGAAUAAAACUGAAUGCAAUGAUGUGGAAGUUUCAGAUUUCAAUAUUUUAUUCAGAAUACAACAUAGAUGACAUAUCAAAUAAUAUAAGUUUAUGACAUUUGUAAAUUAUUC